CUGGUCUUCGUGUAGGAUCUAGCGAGCCACCUCCCACCCGUGUUUACUGUACCUUAGUUGCUUCGGCGGGCCCGCCAUUCAUGGCCGCCGGGGGCUCUCAGCCCCGGGCCCGCGCCCGCCGGAGACACCACGAACUCUGUCUGAUCUAGUGAAGUCUGAGUUGAUUGUAUCGCAAUCAGUUAAAACUUUCAACAAUGGAUCUCUUGGUUCCGGCAUCGAUGAAGAACGCAGCGAAAUGCGAUAACUAGUGUGAAUUGCAGAAUUCCGUGAAUCAUCGAGUCUUUGAACGCACAUUGCGCCCCCUGGUAUUCCGGGGGGCAUGCCUGUCCGAGCGUCAUUGCUGCCCAUCAAGCACGGCUUGUGUGUUGGGUCGUCGUCCCCUCUCCGGGGGGGACGGGCCCCAAAGGCAGCGGCGGCACCGCGUCCGAUCCUCGAGCGUAUGGGGCUUUGUCACCCGCUCUGUAGGCCCGGCCGGCGCUUGCCGAACGCAAAUCAAUCUUUUUCCAGGUUGACCUCGGAUCAGGUAGGGAUACCCGCUGAACUUAAGCAUAUCAAUAAGGCGGAGGA
rnacentral:rRNA from 1 species